AUACGGAGGGUGCAAGCGUUAAUCGGAAUUACUGGGCGUAAAGCGCGCGUAGGCGGGUAUUUAAGUCAGAUGUGAAAUCCCUGGGCUCAACCUAGGAACUGCAUCUGAUACUGGGUAACUAGAGUUUUGGAGAGGUAAGUGGAAUUUCCGGUGUAGCGGUGAAAUGCAUAGAGAUCGGAGGGACCACCAGUGGCGAAGGCGACUUACUGGCCAAAAACUGACGCUGAGGUGCGAAAGCGUGGGUAGCAAACAGGAUUAGAAACCCUAGUAGUCC
rnacentral:rRNA from 1 species